GAUGAACGCUGGCGGCGUGCCUAAUACAUGCAAGUCGAGCGAACAGAUGAGGAGCUUGCUCCUCUGACGUUAGCGGCGGACGGGUGAGUAACACGUGGAUAACCUACCUAUAAGACUGGGAUAACUUCGGGAAACCGGAGCUAAUACCGGAUAAUAUAUUGAACCGCAUUGUUCAAUAGUGAAAGACGGUUUUGCUGUCACUUAUAGAUGGAUCCGCGCAGCAUUAGCUAGUUGGUAAGGUAACGGCUUACCAAGGCAACGAUGCGUAGCCGACCUGAGAGGGUGAUCGGCCACACUGGAACUGAGACACGGUACAGACUCAUACGGGAGGCAGCAGUAGGGAAUCGUCCGCAAUGGGCGAAAGCCUGACGGAGCAACGCCGAGUGAGUGAUGAAGGUCUUCGGAUCGUAAAACUCUGUUAUUAGGGAAGAACAAAUGUGUAAGUAACUAUGCGCGUCUUGACGGUAACUAAUCAGAAAGCCACGGCUAACUACGGG
rnacentral:rRNA from 1 species